rnacentral:snoRNA from 1 species
GCCCUGCAGACGCCUUGCCUACUAGAUCUGAACGCCGGUCUGAGUGUCUUCAAAAGGAGGAAGCGUACACCUGAAACAGGCAUGGCUCAUUUUGUGACCUACAAGUUUGUUUCAAACAAAC